UCCUGGUAAACCCAGGGGACUUAGGCUAAC
rnacentral:piRNA from 1 species